AUCUCGCUGGGGCCUCCAAAUGUUGUGGCCCAGUGUUCGUAAGAGUAAGACCACCAACUCCAAUUAGGUCUUAAG
rnacentral:miRNA from 1 species